GUGCCACGUACAAUCAGUUGAAUGAUGUCGAUUUGGAAAGGUUUUGUGAAAUAAUUGAACUCUCGAAAUUAUUCUAAGUGUUUUUUAUUUAAAAUUAUUCUAAGUCCAAUUAAUUAAUUUAAUAAAACUUGUGAAAAAUAUUCUAAGUCCAGGAGACAUAAAAUAUUAAACUGGGUGACGUGAAGGUGCUUGCGCUAACUCUGGUGGAUCACGUCUGAAUUGUGCCUAAUCUGGGCCCCCUUAUAUAUCGUCCAGGGACUCCCGCGGUACCUUCAGAUCCCUGAUGGUCAUCUGCACCUGCAUCCGCUUCUGCCCACGCUUUGCGUCAUCCGGCCGAUAGCGUGCGUCAAUUAUAUGACUAUAAUAUUCUAUCGGGUGAG